rnacentral:lncRNA from 1 species
ACAUAGACAGUGCCAUCUGGGGACUGGGAAUGCCCUCGAUGCUAUGGAGCAACUACGAAGGAUAGGUGAGAAGCUAAUACAGGGUUGUGCAUGUGAAGUGUACUUAGCAGACACAGAAAUACCUCAAGGUUUUGUGAGGUCAGAAGGCUACAUGGAUGAGGACAGGGCACGCACAGCAUGGCUGAGAGGUAAACUAAGGUUUAAUUAUCAAAAGCACCAGGAAAGAGGAUGUUUUAAGUCUCACUUGAUUUUGUCUGAGAGUACCUCACGUUGUGUUCAGAGGGAUUUAACAGAGUCGCCUGGGCCUGGUAUGGUGGACUUACUCCUCUUCAUUCACACUUAGGAGGCAGAGGUGGAAACAGAAGGAUUUCUGUGAGUUUGAAGCCAACUUGAGCUACAAAGUGAGUUCCAGGCUACUAAGAAAGACUCUCAGGAAAAGGAAAGAAAGAAAAGAAAAA